GUAAGAAGAAGGACGUUGCUGCGUCACCACCAGUUGUUCCAUUCACUGAAGUUUUUAAUGACUGCACCAUCUCAUGUUCCAAACUUCCCAGACUUUGUGGAAGUUGGUUCUGUUGAUGAAGUUGAGAUUUGUCACUAUGACAACAGCAGCAAGAGAGCAGAAUCACAGCAGAGGAUCCAAACUAGUGGCAGAGAGAAACACGGAUCAGUGCUAAUGAACACAUCAGCAAAGUCGACAUAGAAAUUUAUGGGAAGAUCUUCAACCAAACUGAAGAAAGGCUGGUCCUAAAGAGGGAGGCAUUUUUCCCAGGUCUCAAGAAGGUCACCAAGCUGGAGAGAAGAAGCAUCCUGAGCAACG